AUAAAGGUAAGCCCUACAUUUCCGUGUCUAAUGUUUGACUGUCUAUUUUAUAUAAAUUUUUUUUAUAAUUAGUAUUUUCAUUGUUGUCAGAUGAUAAAACAUAAUUAAUACUUUAUGCGUGACUUGUCUUUUUAAUUUUUUUUCAUGAUUUUUUUAAAUAAGAUGGAUGGUUAAAUAUUAUACACGGAAACUCAAGGUUUGUCUUCUU
rfam:Oryza barthii chromosome 9, whole genome shotgun sequence.